AGAACGAACGCUGGCGGCAUGCCUAACACAUGCAAGUCGAACGCUUUUGGGGCUUCGGUCCCAAAGGAGUGGCGCACGGGUGAGUAGCGCGUGGGAACCUGCCCUGGAGUGGGGGAUAACCGAGGGAAACUUCGGCUAAUACCGCAUGCGCCCGGUUUACCUCGAAAGGGGGAAACCGGGGAAAGAUUUAUCGCUCUAGGAGGGGCCCGCGUCGGAUUAGCUUGUUGGUAGGGUAACGGCCUACCAAGCCUUUGAUCCGUAGCUGGUCUGAGAGGAUGAUCAGCCACACUGGGACUGAGACACGGCCCAGACUCCUACGGGAGGCAGCAGUGGAGAAUAUUGGACAAUGGGCGCAAGCCUGAUCCAGCAAUGCCGCGUGAGUGAUGAAGGCCUUAGGGUUGUAAAGCUCUUUCGCCCGCGACGAUGAUGACGGUAGCGGGGGAAGAAGCCCGGCUAACUUCGUGCCAGCAGCCGC
rnacentral:rRNA from 1 species